CAUUGGGAGCCGUGCUAACUUGAGGUAUGGAGCCGACGGCAGCCAGACCAAGACAAGUCUCAGUUAGUAGAGCAGCUUAUUGCUGCCUUGUAUCUCCAAGUACCUACCGUACUAGUUAAGAGUUUGUACGUCCGCCAGGAGUCGAGUGGAAGAACGGAUUCCCUUUGGAAGCGCUGUAUGAUAAAUAAUUUAUCAUGUAUAAUAAAAUACCCAAUUACU